UAUGGUUAGAUCUCUGUUAUUAU
rnacentral:snRNA from 1 species